rnacentral:rRNA from 1 species
AUUGAACGCUGGCGGCAUGCCUUACACAUGCAAGUCGAACGGCAGCACGGGUGCUUGCACCUGGUGGCGAGUGACGAACGGGUGAGUAAUACAUCGGAACAUGUCCUGUAGUGGGGGAUAGCCCGGCGAAAGCCGGAUUAAUACCGCAUACGAUCUACGGAUGAAAGCGGGGGACCUUCGGGCCUCGCGCUAUAGGGUUGGCCGAUGGCUGAUUAGCUAGUUGGUGGGGUAAAGGCCUACCAAGGCGACGAUCAGUAGCUGGUCUGAGAGGACGACCAGCCACACUGGGACUGAGACACGGCCCAGACUCCUACGGGAGGCAGCAGUGGGGAAUUUUGGACAAUGGGCGAAAGCCUGAUCCAGCAAUGCCGCGUGUGUGAAGAAGGCCUUCGGGUUGUAAAGCACUUUUGUCCGGAAAGAAAUCCUUGGCUCUAAUACAGUCGGGGGAUGACGGUACCGGAAGAAUAAGCACCGGCUAACUACGUG